UACGUAGGGGGCGAGCGUUGUCCGGAUUCAUUGGGCGUAAAGCGCGUGCAGGCGGCCUGGUAAGUCGGCCGUGAAAGCGCCAGGCUUAACCUGGCGAGGUCGGGCGAGACUGCUAGGCUGGAGGCCGGUAGAGGGCGGUGGAAUUCCGGGUGUAGUGGUGGAAUGCGUAGAGAUCCGGAGGAACACCAGUGGCGAAGGCGGCCGCCUGGGCCGGACCGUGACGCUGAGACGCGAAAGCGUGGGGAGCGAGUCCGG
rnacentral:rRNA from 1 species